AGACAUAGAGGAGGAAAAAAAGCAAAGUUAUCCAUUGAACUAGAGUCUUUGCCCUCUCUUAAUUACGUCAAGUCCCGUAUCUUUUCCCUUUUUUCACCUUUUUUCUUCACUCUGUUAGACUUCGUGUUAGUGGUAAUUAGCUAGAAGAGAAUAAAACCAGCUGAUCGAGAGAGGGGUGGUGCAUUUUGGAGCGAGAUGGCUAACAGAAACAUUCUGUUGCUCUUCUGUGGACUCUUCCUCAUAGCACUGAUUCAGCCUUCUCUUCAAGGAGGUGUGUAUGUACCACCUGGUGCUGGGAUAGGACCAGGAGGCGUCGGACCAGGAACUGGAUACUUUCCAGGAUCUACUGGAGGAGUCCCGGCGGGCUAUAAACCAGCGAAAGCAGCAGG